UGAACUUUAAAAUGCAAGUUCACAGUUCUUUAAGAGACUAACACAGAAAGCCAAAGUAAUUAUCCAUAGAACCCGGAGACGAGAUUGUAAAACUCCUCUGUAGAUCCUGUCUGGAGUCACAGCU
rnacentral:snoRNA from 1 species